GACGAACCGUGCGAACGUUGUUCGGAAUCACUGGGCUUAAAGGGCGCGUAGGCGGGUGGGCAAGUCUGCGGUGAAAGCCUCCAGCUUAACUGGAGAAGUGCCGUGGAUACUGCUCAUCUUGAGGAGGGUAGGGGCAUCUGGAACGGUCGGUGGAGCGGUGAAAUGCGUUGAUAUCGACCGGAACUCCGGUGGCGAAGGCGAGGUGCUGGACCCUUUCUGACGCUGAGGCGCGAAAGCCAGGGGAGCAAAC
rnacentral:rRNA from 1 species